GUUCACUUUGACAGCAUAUAUACUAAAAUUAGAAUGAUACUGAGAAAAUUAGCUUGGCUGUUGCACAAGAAUGACAUACAAAUUUGUGAAGCAUUCCAUAUUUUU